GACAGAGGUGCCGAGCGUUAGGCGGAAUCACUGGGCUUAAAGCGUGUGUAGGCGGGUCGUUAAGUGCCUUGUGAAAUCCCACAGCUCACCUGUGGAACUGCUUGGUAUACUGGCGAUCUUGAGCCACUUAGGGGCAACCGGAACAAACGGUGGAGCGGUGAAAUGCGUAGAUAUCUGGAGGAACACCGGUGGCGAAAGCGGCUCACUGGACCUGAUCUGACACUGAGGUGCGAAAGCUAGGGUAGCAAACGGG
rnacentral:rRNA from 1 species